GACGGGGGGGGCAAGUGUUCUUCGGAAUGACUGGGCGUAAAGGGCACGUAGGCGGUGAAUCGGGUUGAAAGUGAAAGUCGCCAAAAAGUGGCGGAAUGCUCUCGAAACCAAUUCACUUGAGUGAGACAGAGGAGAGUGGAAUUUCGUGUGUAGGGGUGAAAUCCGUAGAGAUCCGGAAGAACACCGGUGGCGAAGGCGGCCUGCUGGGCAGUUUUGCUGACACUGAGGCGCGGCAGCGUGGGGAGCAAACAGG
rnacentral:rRNA from 1 species